rnacentral:rRNA from 1 species
ACGGAGGAUCCAAGCGUUAUCCGGAAUCAUUGGGUUUAAAGGGUCCGUAGGUGGACUAAUAAGUCAGAGGUGAAAUCCUGCAGCUCAACUGUAGAAUUGCCUUUGAUACUGUUAGUCUUGAGUCAUUAUGAAGUGGUUAGAAUGUGUAGUGUAGCGGUGAAAUGCAUAGAUAUUACACAGAAUACCGAUUGCGAAGGCAGAUCACUAAUAAUGUACUGACACUGAGGGACGAAAGCGUGGGGAGCGAACAGG